UACAGAGGGUGCAAGCGUUGUUCGGAAUUAUUGGGCGUAAAGGGUGCGUAGGCGGUGCGGUAAGUCUGUAGUGAAAUCUCUGGGCUCAACUCAGAGUCUGCUAUAGAAACUGCCGUGCUCGAGUAUGGGAGAGGUGAGUGGAAUUCCCGGUGUAGAGGUGAAAUUCGUAGAUAUUGGGAAGAACACCGGUGGCGAAGGCGGCGACCUGGUCCGAUACUG
rnacentral:rRNA from 1 species